rnacentral:rRNA from 1 species
GACGAACGCUGGCGGCGUGCUUAACACAUGCAAGUCGAACGGAAAGGCCCUGCUUUUGUGGGGUGCUCGAGUGGCGAACGGGUGAGUAACACGUGAGUAACCUGCCCUUGACUUUGGGAUAACUUCAGGAAGCUGGGGCUAAUACCGGAUAGGAGCUCCUGCUGCAUGGUGGGGUUGGAAAGUUUCGGCGGUUGGGGAUGGACUCGCGGCUUAUCAGCUUGUUGGUGGGGUAGUGGCUUACCAAGGCUUUGACGGGUAGCCGGCCUGAGAGGGUGACCGGCCACAUUGGGACUGAGAUACGGCCCAGACUCCUACGGGAGGCAGCAGUGGGGAAUAUUGCACAAUGGGCGGAAGCCUGAUGCAGCAACGCCGCGUGCGGGAUGACGGCCUUCGGGCUGUAAACCGCUUUCGCCUGUGACGAAGCGUGAGUGACGGUAAUGGGUAAAGAAGCACCGGCUAACUACGUG